CUAGUCGGAUCGUUAACCACUGCGCCACGGGAACUCCUUAUUUUGCUCUUUUUUAUGAUUGAGUAGUAUUCCAUUGUAUGUAUGUAACACGUCCUCUUUAUCCAUUCCUCUCUUUGUGGACAUUUGAAACUUGAACAAUGUACUCAUUCCUGGUAAAGGAAAAAAUAUUCCAAUAGUGUGACUUAAAUUAUGUUACCAUCUUCCUUACACAUAAACACAAAACUAGUGUUUGUUUGUUUCUUUCUUUCUUUCUUGCUGCACCCAUGGCAUGUGGAUGUUCCUGGGCCAGGGACUGAAUCUGAGCCACAACUGUGACCUGUACCACAGCUGUGGUGAUGCUGGAUCCUUCGCCCUAGGCCAGGGAUCGAACCCACAUCUCUGAAGCGAUGUGAACCACUGUAGUCAGAUUCUUGAUCCACUGUGCCACAGCAGGAACUCCCACAAAACCAGUGUAAACCCCUUUGGCUUAUACCACCUCUAGGCACCAAAACCAAAAGAGGUUUACAGACGACAUACAAACAAAACUAAAGUCAGUGCAAUUCUAGUUAAAAUACUAGUUAGAAGAUUUUGUUUUGCUGAAACUACAGCUCUUUUGUGGGGGCUCCGAGGCGUCUCACAAUACUUGUGAUGCCUCUUCACCUUGUUCCCAGUGAUUACUUGAUUUACCGGCCAAAAUUUCCCUGUUGGAAGACUGUGAAACUUCCCUGUGAUAUAAUUGGUCUUCAUUUGGGUUAGAUGCAUCCUCCACCUGUGAAGUGUAUUUCUGUUCUUUCCUCAUUCGGCCAAGAAAAAGAAAGUAGUAUAGCCUGGUGCCAGAAUCUGUCAACAAACUAUCUGUGGCUGGCUCUGAAGGUGUAGGCGCCGAAGGCGUGUGUCAGCACUGUUCAUCACGUGACUUGGAAUGAAUUUACCUUAGUAUUUUUUUAGGUUGUCAUUGAAUGAAAACACUAAACACUCACGGAAAACUUGCAAAUCCCUCCAGUACGCAGACUCAAGAGCUUCAAGGGGACUGUAAGAAGCCAGGUGAGAAAACUGAGCUGCUGAGAAGUGAAGGAACUUGCUCAAGAUCACCUGCUACUGAGUGGAGGAGCUGCGAUUUGGACCGGGGUGGCCACGUGCCAGAUCUCUUAGCUGCUACUUCAAUUGCCAGAAAACAAAUGUUUGACAUAUGUAGGAAAAGGGACAUGCAUGAACUGGAAACAGAUGCUAGGAAUUCCUGGUAAUGGGCUAGAGCAAGUCUUCAUCAUUCCAUCUGCGGUUUCUGGGCUGCUGUGCGAGGUGAGAACACCCUGCUGAAGACCCACCCCCAGGAAGCCUUUCUGGGAAGGUGAGGCGAUGAUGUAGUGUGGGAAGCACAGUGCGGAGGUGUCCAAACCCUUCUGGGGAGAUCAAGGCAGCUUUCUGGAGGACAUGAAGGGAGUGGAGCCAGGCUUUCAAGGCCACAUUGGGAGAGUUGGUUGAAGUAGGUGGCAGUCGGUCCAAAGCAGAGGUGUACGUAGGACCGCAGAGGACAGAAAAGCUGAUAUGGGCUGCCAAGCAGACACAGCUCUAGUACUUUGCUAAGUACUAGAAAGGGCACUGUGCGGGUCUUGGGAACUGAUAUUUACUCUCUUACCUGCACUUUUCCCACUUUCUGUUACAUCGUGUAGCACCUGUGUUAAUGGAUGUUUGGGAUAAAAUAGUUUUGUAAAAUCUUGGGUUAUUAACGUGUUGUUGAAAUUUCUGCUUAAGGAAUCAAUGUGUAACUUUAAUAAAAAACUGUGUAUUCUGUAUAAUCACAUUCUGAAUCCUUUAGUGUAAAUAAAAACUUCCUGUUUUGUGUGUGUUUAUAAUUUAAGUCAUCUUGAAUGUAAUGAUUUGAAGCUAAAAUCAGAGCUCUCUUGCUGGGCUUGGGGCCUGGGUGACCUCCAGAUGUGUCCCGGGCCACUUAGCUCCACCCAGGGCAGUGAUGACCCAUGUUAUUCCUGACCAUGCCUCGCACCAGAGCCUCCAUCAGUGGUUCAGCAGCCUCUGCUAUUUCAGGCGCUCCUUGUACUCCAUGCAGGUCCCUGAAGUAUGUUUAGUGUCAGAGUCAGAACAUCAAAAGCAAACAGGAAAAGUUUAUUGUUUAGAUUCAUUUGAAUUCACCCAUUUUACCUGUAGUGUUUGUUGGUCAAGCACCAAGGGGAAAAAACCACACAAGGGAAGAAAGUGGAAUAAGAAGUGAAUAGUCUGGGAAAGACAGACAGUAUUUAAAAAAAAAAAAAGUAAAAAAG